rnacentral:rRNA from 1 species
AACAGGGAUUGCCUCAGUAGCGGCGAGUGAAGCGGCAAAAGCUCAAAUUUGAAAUCUGGCGUCUUUGGCGUCCGAGUUGUAAUUUGAAGAAGGUAUCUUUGGGCCCGGCUCUUGUCUAUGUUCCUUGGAACAGGACGUCACAGAGGGUGAGAAUCCCGUGCGAUGAGAUGACCCGGGUCUGUGUAAAGUUCCUUCGACGAGUCGAGUUGUUUGGGAAUGCAGCUCUAAGUGGGUGGUAAAUUCCAUCUAAAGCUAAAUAUUGGCGAGAGACCGAUAGCGAACAAGUACAGUGAUGGAAAGAUGAAAAGAACUUUGAAAAGAGAGUGAAAAAGUACGUGAAAUUGUUGAAAGGGAAGGGCUUGAGAUCAGACUUGGUAUUUUGCAUGCUGCUCUCUCGGGGGCGGCCGCUGCGGUUUACCGGGCCAGCAUCGGUUUGGAGCGGCAGGAUAAUGGCGGAGGAAUGUGGCACGGCUUCUUCUUUUUUAUAGCCUCUGACGAUACUGCCAGCCUAGACCGAGGACUGCGGUUUUCCUAGGAUGUUGGCAUAAUGAUCUUAAGUCGC